rnacentral:lncRNA from 1 species
CUUCCAGUCAGUCAUGAAGAGAGACCUGUGUGUCAAACAGGAAAUAUAUUCAGUGGAUGCUUUCAAGGCGUCAGGAAUCCUGACUAACUGUCAGAAAGGUCCUUGAUGAGAAUAAAAUGGCAAGAGGCAAUGGUACCACAGUGACAGAAUUUGUCCUCAUGGGAUUCACAG